rnacentral:hammerhead_ribozyme from 1 species
AUCCAGCAGACGAGUCCCAAACAGGACGAAACGCGCGUUCUUGAU